rnacentral:lncRNA from 1 species
GAACUCAGCCACCACCUGUCCUAUGUAUUCUCAUCCAGGAACAGUUUGAAAACCGGGUUGAUAAAACUGGGGAAAGGGAAAGAAGCCACGAGAAUCCAGAAGUUGGAAGCAUCACUGGACACACCAGGCAGGAAUCCCCCACCAAUCACCUGGGGAUGAUGCUCUCUCGGCCCAACCCACAGGGGUGCACUGACAGGUUUUAAUUUUCAGGAUGAAACAUAAAGUCCGAGGAAACCCUCAGCAUAAUCACUUGGGGACUCAUGUUUCCACAGCAAAGACACCAGUCCUGAACUUCUCCUUUCAGAAUUCUUGGGAAAUGCUCAUCUAUCUCCUUACCUCAGAAGGGCUCCUGUCCUAUCUCACACUUGAAGAAGUCCAUCUGAAGCAAGGCUGCAGCUCCCUGCCAUGAUGCUACAUAUUCCUGCAUCUCUCCUCACUAGUGACUACUUUCCUGUUUAAAUUCAAAGUCAAUGGGGCGCCUAGGGGGCUCAGUGGUUGAGUGCCUGCCUUCAACUCAGGAUAUGAUCCUGUGAUCCUGGGAUCUAGUCCCGCAUUGGGCUCCCUGCAAGGAGCCCGCUUCUCCCUCUAUGACUCUGCCUCUCUCCGUGUGUCUCAUGAAUAAAUAAAAUCUUAAAAAGAAAUUCAAAAUCAAGUCUAUGCCUGGAUUAAGUUCAGGUUCUCAAAGGUAUCCCCUUCUUUCUUGCUCUCUGGAAAACUAAUUAUUGACUAGUAAGUAACUGCCAAACUGCAUCGUAUUUUUUAAAAUUUUAAUCUUUAUUGAACAAUUUUCCAGAGGGAGGGGCAAGGUGGUGGAAGAGUAGGGUCCCCAAGUCACCUGUCCCCACCAAAUUACCUAGAUAACCUUCAAAUCAUCCUGAAUAUCUACGAAUUCGGCCUGAGAUUUAAAGAGAGACCAGCUGGAAUGCUACAGUGAGAAGAGUUCGUGCUUCUAUCAAGGUAGGA